AUCCGACAAAGCCGGCCCCGCCGGCAACCAGGAUGAUCUUUCCUCGGCUUGCUUUG
rnacentral:sRNA from 1 species